UUUGAAAGGGGUAAGUUUGGGCUGGGCCUAUUGAAUGAUGUGCUGGCCCCUUUCACUGCUAUUGAUUCGCCUCUGUUGUUCCUCUUCGCGUAGGCACAGCGUCAUCUUCCUCCUCGCGUAGCCACAGUUCUCGCUGCAGAUCUAAGUGCGUACGCCAUGGACCCCUAGAUCUGCUCUACUCUUCUCUAGGUCGUCUUUCCCGUAUCUCCUUUGCUGGAAGCUAUAACCUUCGAAAGUUCACCUGUUUCCUUGCACGAUUCAAGCUUCGAUGCACUCCAUCAGUGAUCUAUGAUCUACACCCUACCUCGAAAACCAGCUUUUGAUUCUGCUUUCCAGGUUGUGUGGCUACACCCUAGAUCAGAGGAAAAUGAUUUCUUCCUCACUCUGGCCGCAGCUUCCUAUCGUCAAUCUCAUCCACCACCAAUGUCUACCCUUUUCUUCCUCACUCUGCUAUGCUUUACAGGCCUGAGAUCAGCAUCUCUAGACUGCAGAGUAGCACUUUUCCCCUCUGCUUCUACGGUCAGUAUUUUCCGGCGAGCUGCAACCCUACAGCGAGGUCAUCAUCCCUUGCUGCCAAACAACAGCUGUCCAAGUUGCUUUACAGGUUGUGUGCCUACACCCUACGUCCCUCAAUCUCCUUGACAGCUUGGCUGAAUUGAUGCAUGCCCCAAUUUAUGCUUAUAAAUUGAACCAUUGUCUGUGAGGAUGUUCAUCUGUUCGUUGAUCAACCAGUUCCCACUCUUUCUGCCGCAGAGACUGUGAAGUGCUAUUGCAGGUGUGUAGGCAUGUUGUGGCAGAUGCAGUUAUCAUGCGUUUUUGCUAUUAGUGCAUGAUGUGGUUGUGGACUUAUGACUGCCACUGAACCGAGAUGUAUGCGAUCUGCAAUUCAAUAUCAAAGUCCAUUCCUUUUCUGAUGCUUUGAUCAGUUAAUCUUCGUAAUCUGAAUGAGAGAUAUGAGUGGGAAUGUGAAUUGCAUAAGGAUCGUGUGUCCUGGGAAAAAUACUUACAAUCACUGCUUGAGGAGGGAGUGUCUACACUUGAUACCUCACAAAAAUUCUCAUUUGCUAAUAUGUGGCUUCUAGCAGCCCAAUUUGAAAUAUGUCAACUGAAUCUCAAGGGUGCUCAUGUAAUAUUAGGAACUGCUAUUGGAAAGGCUCCUAAAGAUAAGAUUCUUAAGAAGUAUAUAGAGAUAGAACUGCAGCUUGGUAACAUUGAUCGAUGCAGAAAAUUGUAUGAAAAAUAUUUGGAGUGGGCGCUUGAAAAUUGCUAUGCUUGGAGCAAGUAUGCAUAAUUGGAGAGAUCUUUAUCUGAGACUGAUCGAGCUAGAUCAAUAUUUGAGCUUGCAAUUGCCCAGCCAGCAUCGGAUAUGCCUGAACUGUGUUGGAAGGUUGUUUGCCUAUGAUCUACCCCAUCGUCUAUCAUCGAUCAGCUAUACUAUUUUUCCAAUUCAUUUACAGUUGUCAAUUCGUUGCUAUACAGCUUGCAGUUCGUGGCUAAAAAUAUAACUAAGUUGUGAAUGAACCAUUGAGUUCAUAUGCUAUUCACAUUGUUCUAGUUGAUGUCGAGGUUUAGUCCUAACCAUAUAUGUUAAUCUGAUUAGUAUAUAAUUUUUAAUUUAUUUUUCUUUCCCUCUUUUUAAUGAAACUGAGUUUGUGUGCAUUUGUGUUAAUUUGUAAUUUAAUUAUGACUUACAAGUUCUCUUUAGGGGUGUUAGGCUAGGAAUCAUUAUUUGGGAUCAAUGAGGAUUGACUUCAGUUGGAGUCCUGGUAUAUUGGUCUUAGUAACUGUAUCAGUAGGAGUUACUUCAUUUACCCUCAACCUUGCCCUGAUGGUAUUAUUUAACCCAUGUCUUCAAUUGGAGUCCUGGUAUUAUUUCCAGAGACUCGGGCAUAAGGAGCAUUGAUUCCCAUUUUAGUUUGUUUAGUCUUUGAAGUUUAUAGAAGAAGUUAUUUAUAUUCAUUAACGAAAUGAAAAAAAUUGCAGUCCUAAUCAUAGUUUAUCUGUGUGGAUGUAGAGGGUGGGGACAUAAACUGUAUAGGAGCAAUUUUCUCAAAAGAAGACAUGGUGAUUAUGUUCACUAACAAUGAAAGUAUUAUCAUGAAAGUUUUCCAACCAAUCACUACGCAGGAGAUAUACUGAAAAGUUAGGCAUGAGUUUUGAUAAGCUCAUCACUUUAAGUUUCAUUUCUAUUCAUAGUUUUCUGGUUCUGUUUGUUUCAUUCUUCCGCAUGCUUUACUUUCUAUGGUCACUUUGUGGUGGAGCAAACACCACUCUGACACUUCAAAUUAUCCGCAUCAUUUAGACCUUGAUUUCAAAAGUGUAAUGCAAUACUUUCUUUAGCCAUCUUUGAGCUGAUAUGUUAUUUUCAGCUGAUAUUUUUUAGCUCUUAAAAACUAAACACAUUUCAUCAUCAUGUUUCAACAACCCAUUAGUUAGUUGUAUAUUAUUGAUUGAUAUCAACAUGUAUCAUGUUGCUAAUAUCCCUCCAAGUAUAUGUUUACUAAUGUUCUAUAUUUAUAAGAUGAUCAGUUAUAUUUUUGGGUUAAAUAUUUAACCCAUGAUUUAUUACUUUUACAAGAUCUUGCCCAAUUUUCUUAUGCUACUGUUUAAGUUGUUGGCACCUCAGGAUCCUUGCAAGAUAUAGAUGAAGUUGAACUCCUUGGAUUUCUCCUGAGGCAAAAUAGGGUGUUGUGUAUGUGGUGGUCUCUACAAACCGUUUGAAUAAGGUCAUCAAGAUGAUAAAGACAAGUGACAGUCAGGUUGGAAAUUAAGCAUUACAUUAGGCAGACUGCUCUGGUGUCUCUCAUUUUCUUUUUAAUGGUUUUUGGUGAAUAUGUACUGUUCAGAUUUUCCAAUUGUCUUAAAUGUUUGUAAAUGGUUCAAACACAUGAAGGCUGUAAAGUUUUGUUAGGAUAUGGCAAAUAGGAAGUUUUGUGAUUUUAUUUGUUAAGCUCUUCUACAUUUUUCAUCUUAUCGAUUUAUAAGUAAGUUAGGUCGUACUCAUACUGUUGAAAGCACGUAAGGGAAUAUAUUAAGUCGUUUUUGUUACUUGAUAAACCUUUAUAAGUUGUUAUUCAACGGAUGCUCCAGCAUUUUUAAUGAUUCAUAUCAUAGGCACAUAUGUAUCGUUUGUAAUAGUCUAUCUACAUACAUUUAUGGUUUGUCUAAGAACAAACCAUUUAAACGCAUAAAAUGAGCAGUUGUGAUAUGUGUAUACACUUGAAGGAUAAAAAUGCGAACAAAGAAAUAUAAACAGGUUCCGUGCAUCGCACGGGUAAAAUCCUAGACAGACCCAUUCGAAGCACGGUUUUCACAGGUAAAUUAGGUCUCAUUCAACUCUUCCCAUCUCUAUAUCCACGUUCGUCCACUUCUCUCUCUGUUCUCCAGAUUCUGCCCCCAUUCGAAGCGGCUAGACGAUCAACUGCGCGGCUGUUCACCUGCACGUCGCCGGCGGCGCUCCAAUCGGUCAUAACUACUUCAUUCGUAGUCACGUUGGAAGUUUUAGGAGCUACCAUGGCACAAACCAGAUUAACGAGUCUACUAGAAGGAGACAACAACUUUAUACUUAUCCACCAACCUGACCCGGACUCUACAACGCUUCCUAGGUGGUUUGUUAGAAAUAACCCCGUUAUCAGGCCGUACCAGAAUGCUCUGCACACCGAUCUCGCAGGCAACACAUUUUCAGUGAGCCUUAGAACAGUGGGUGGAGAAAUGGUAAUGGAAGGUUUUCAAGAAGUCUGUCAAGCGCACCAUAUCAAUGGAACUGUUAGGGUGCACUACACCUACAUUAAUGGUAGCCGAUUCAACAUUCGGAUUUUCUAUGAUGAGUACACGAGGUAGCUUACUUAGUUCAAGAGGAAGAGGAUUUGAUUGAUGAAGAGGAGCUUGCCUGGUUGAGUGAUAUCUCCGAGGCAAAGUCAUUUGGAAAGCAUUAUCUGCAUGUUCCUGCGAGUGUUGUGCUUGAGCGUCUUCGACACAAUCCUCCCACACUAAACAUUAUAUUACCAGAUGGAAAUCUAGAUGAGUGGGUACUGCAAUAGGCUACUGGUAGACCCAAUGCAGUUGAUUUUGGUCAUGGCUGGUACGAGUUUGGUAGGCAGAAACGAGUCUGCGCUAGGGAUCAAUAUGGGGUCUAUGAGACGCCUGAGACAGACACGUACCGCCUUGAAGUUCGCCGCCACUAGAUCAUUAAAGGGUUAUGUACUUUUAAAUGUGAUGUUUAUUUCAAAUGACUUUAAUUACCUUAUGUUCGUUUUUCAAUUUUAUUUUGUGUGUUGAGUUUGUAAAACUGUGUUGUUAACUUUCAUCUCUCAUGAGCUCAAGGGUAUGCCACUUAUGUUCAAAACAAUUGCUAUAUCUUCAGAUUUGGAUUACGGCAUGUACCAAGGCUGCUUUGUAUCACUCUAUUAUGAACUAUUUGCUAUGUCUUAUGUGUUAUUAAUUAUGGCACGAGCCUUAAGGUUCAGCUCUUAAUCGCAAUGCAAGUCUUUUUUA